rnacentral:rRNA from 1 species
UACGAAGGGGGCUAGCGUUGCUCGGAAUCACUGGGCGUAAAGGGUGCGUAGGCGGCGCACCAAGUCAGGCGUGAAAGCCCUGGGCUCAACCCGGGAAUUGCGCUUGAGACUGGUGUGCUUGAGUACGGGAGAGGAUAGUGGAAUUCCCAGUGUAGAGGUGGAAUUCGUAGAUAUUGGGAAGAACACCGGUGGCGAAGGCGGCUAUCUGGACCGUAACUGACGCUGAGGCGCGAAAGCGUGGGGAGCAAACAGG